rnacentral:rRNA from 1 species
UGGGGAAUCUUGGACAAUGGGGGCAACCCUGAUCCAGCCAUGCCGCGUGGACGAUGAAGGCCUUAGGGUUGUAAAGUCCUUUCACCGGUGAAGAUAAUGACGGUAGCCGGAGAAGAAGCCCCGGCUAACUCCGUGCCAGCAGCCGCGGUAAUACGGAGGGGGCUAGCGUUGUUCGGAAUUACUGGGCGUAAAGCGCACGUAGGCGGACCAGAAAGUUGGGGGUGAAAUCCCGGGGGCUCAACCCCGGAACUGCCUCCAAAACUAUUGGUCUAGAGUUCGAGAGAGGUGAGUGGAAUUCCAAGUGUAGAGGUGAAAUUCGUAGAUAUUUGGAGGAACACCAGUGGCGAAGGCGGCUCACUGGCUCGAUACUGACGCUGAGGUGCGAAAGUGUGGGGAGCAAACAGGAUUAGAUACCCUGGUAGUCCAGCGCCGUAAAACGAUGUCUGCUAGUCGUUGGGGAGCAUAGCUCUUCGGUGACGCAGCUAACGCAUUAAGCAG